GGUUGGUCCGAAUGUAGUGGUGCUUACAACUAAUUGAUCACAACCAGUUACAGAUUUCUUUGUUCCUUCUCCACCCCCACUGCUUCACUUGACCAGCCUUUU
rnacentral:Y_RNA from 1 species